AGAAAAGAAGGAAGGAAGACAAGAGGGAGGAACUCAAGUCUUAUCCCCUAUAUCAGCAUUUACAGUUGAUUUUUCAAAAGGUCAAGUUUGAUAACGCCCGGUGUCGGCUGGGAGUUUAUUAACCCUAUCUUUCGAAGGGUGUUAGAAAGACACAAGCAGUACAGACUUCACAGCAACCUACUAUGCCAAAAGGAGGCUGUCAAAGUACCCACAACAGUGCAAUUAAGACAGUCACGAAAGAAGCCUUCCAGCACUGCUUCAGAAAGUGACAAGAACAAUAUAUAACACACACAUACAUGUGCUCUGUGGCCUUAGAUAGGUUAUUUAUUUGCUCUGUGUCUUAACUUUAUAUGUCUAUAGAGUCCUGGGAGGAUUUAUCUACAUGUUUAAGUUUAAUAGAUAUUAAUAUAUGAUUACUACUUCAAGUGAUAUAUAGAUCACUUGACACUAUACCUGGCAUAGAGCAUAACUCAGAUUAUGCCAGCUAUUACCUUAAAUUCUCUGUGUUACAGAAAACCUCUUUUAAAAUGCCUUUUUCUGUGUACAAAAUAGUUAGCCAUCCUCUUCCAUAUAAUUUGUUGAUCUUAUAUUUGAAAAUCAUAAUUAUUGAGCCCUCUCCCAGUUCACCUCUCUUCAUAAUGAAUA